rnacentral:rRNA from 1 species
AUGUGUGCACCCAAGAGAGAUGGGGGACUAGGCUUUCGGGAUCCGGAAGCUUUCAAUCAAGCUCUUUUGGCGAAGCAAGCAUGGCGUAUUCUGCAAGUCCCGUCUUCACUUGUGGCUAGAGUAUUGAAAGCUCGGUAUUUCAAUGACAAUACAAUUUUGACAGCCACUUGUCCCUCGAAUGCAUCAGAUACAUUUAGGAGUAUUUUGCAUGGU